UCCAGACAUCAAAAAUGAACCAUUUUUAAGGUGUCCGGUUAAUUUUGCACCCCAGUGUAUCUAUCUCAAUAUCAAACUAAACGAAUACUCGAGAAGGCUUCCCAAACCCAUAAAGAAAGAGUAGAAAAAUUUAAUCAACAUCUAGAUGGUCUUACAGAACACUUUGAUAUUCCCAAAGUUUCCUGGACAAAAUAGUACCUGUAUAUUCGAGUUAUGUUUCUAUUUAAAUUUAUGAAACUUUUAUUAUGUGAUUUUUUUUUCUCUUUUUGUAAUUUAUUAUUAUAGUUAGUGUGGAGAUGUAGAUGAGUAUCCAUAUUAAUAAUAAAAAAUAUGUUAUAUGA
rnacentral:lncRNA from 1 species